rnacentral:lncRNA from 1 species
GGGGGUGGGGAUAGUUCCAAAUUGCUUUCCAGAGUAGCUAGAUGAAUUCACGUCACCAACAGUGAACACUUAGUAUGCCUAGUUUCCUGCAUUAUUGUAAAAUGUCAUCUUAAUUGGUCUAAUAGAUGUGAGGUAGAACCUCAAAUUUGCUUUAAUUUGCAAUUUGCUAUUAAUGACUUAAGACUAUUUUGUUCAUGAUUGAUAUUUGGAAUUCAUGCUUUGAAAACUUCCUAUUCAUAUCAUUUUAUCUAUUGGGGACUACUUUUAGUAUUAUAAAUCUGACUUAGUUUCUUAUAUACCUUGGUUAUGAUACAGAGAAAUUUGUUGAAGAUAUAUUUCCACUUUCCUUUCUAAUUUUUACAUUAGGCAUGUACAAAAUCUUAAACUUUAUGUAAUGAAAACUGCCUAUUUUAUUUUGUCUAUUUAGAUAUGAAAUUUUCUAUGCAAGAGCUGAAUGGUAAUUUCUUCCUUAGUUGUCUGUUUCUAAUUUGACCUUUUAUAUGUGAAUCAUAUAUCUAUUUGGAGCUUUAUUACAGUAAGAGGUGUUGGUCUAAACAUAAUUUUUGUGGGUUUGAUUCAACAUAAGAACUUUCCUACAAAUGGAAAUAUUAAAAAGUAAUGCACCAUUUCAUUAAUACUGUGUUCUCUUUUUGGGAAGUACUUAAAUAUUCAAGGAAUUUUUGUAAUGAACAGGCCAGACUACUUGGUCUUUAAAGCAGAAUGUAAGCUCCUUUAGGGUAAGAAUGUUUUAAGAUUUUUUUUUUGUUGUUGUUUUUGGAUUAGUGCUACACAUAGAGCAGAUGGUAGAUAAAAAUGUUUGUUGAAUAAAUUAAACUCUCUCCUAACCACAAAAGAGCCUGUACCAUUGAGACAAGAUUAUUAUGAACAGCUACCAGUUUUGUCUCUUCCCAGUUCUCCUUCCUUCCUGUGUGUCUGGGCUUUCUUGGGAUUUUCCCAAAACUCAGGGUAAUUGGCAGGGGGAUCAAAGAAUAAAGUGUCUAUCCUAGGCUCAAAAUAGUUUAGUGAGAUGUGCUGAGUGUCAGGAGAGCAUCCUGCAAGGAAAAGAUACAUGGGAACUCAAUUUUCCACCUUGGAAAUGAGAGGGCCGGGAACUUUGAGAUAAGCAGGCUUCUUCAUCACACCUGAGGCGCCCUUUUGUGUUAACUAAUUCAGGGAGUAAAAAGGCUUUGUACUUACUGGAAGGGCCAUAGGACUUUCCCAAAGAAGGGAAACAAAUUAUAGGAGAAAUAUUAACCACAGACUACUGAGAAGUUCUUAGAUCCAAGGUGUUCCUGUGCCAAGCUUAGAGGUAUAGAAACACAAGUAGAUGGAGCAGUGAGAUAAAAGUGGGAGUAAAAAUUUCUUGACCAAGUCCAGAGCUUGUGUCAGGGUAGAAGUUGUGGAAGAACCAGGGAGCAAAUCCAAACCUCAGCCUUCCCUAGUAUUUUGAGUGAUGCGGAUUGUGUAGGUUAGGUGGAGAAUGUUAACUCCAAUAACCCUAUUUGUGAAGGAAUCAAUUGACUAUAUUUGUUUCACAGAUUUUGCUUAGGAUAUCAAAGAUUGGAUCUGGUCCCUGGGAGUUCAGAUAUUGUCGGGGGUAAACCCUGAAACCAUGUCCCCUUUAACCUGUAAAAGAAGGGAGUUUUGGGGUCUCAGGCUCUCCCCUGGAAAGAGCAUACCUUUCCAAGACAAGCCCUUCCCAAGUAAGUGGUUUCAUUCAAUUGGAGAUCUUGGUCAAAUUACCCUCCAUUGAAACUCAGAUCUUUUGGGGGUGGCCUGGAUCCCCUUCAGGGAGUUUCCAGACUCUGGGGAAAGCCUUUAAACUCCCAUUUAAGUGAUUUUAUUCAAUUAAAGAUCUAAGCCCCAGGCACUGACAACUUUGAAGGAAUUCAAUUUUGAAUGUAAGUCUGAGCCUCAGAGGGCUAAUAAAAGACAACUAUGAACUCGGAAUCUUUGCAGAAGUUCAAAACAAGAUUAUGCUUGCUAAGGGAGUUCUCUCCUUGGCAAAGAUGCUUGCCAGGACUUUUGCCCACUGGGAAGAUAUUCUCUUCUCAGGUGUUAACCUUUGCCAUUUUCCUAAUAGGACCUUCCCACUAAGAAGUCUGUCUUCCUAGCAAAGCUGGCUUCUCAGUGCCAAUAAAAUUCCCUUUUGCCAUACAGUUUUUUGGGUUUCCAAAUUCUUUUGUAUUGGACCUGCGCUGACCAGAGGGGAUUCCCCACCCCAAUUCUCUCACCUCUUCAUUACCACUAGCCUUAUCAUUUGAACAUCAUCAAUAUAAGCUUGUAAUAGUUACCUGUUUCCUGAAAUCUUAUAAUUCCAUCAUUAGUAAGAUAAGUUUAGUAAUGUAGCUCUAAUUUGCCAGACAGAAGUAUAUUUGGAUAGUUUAACUCUACAACUACAUUUUGUUUUCUACAACUACAUUUUGUUUCACUAUGUUAGGCUGAAGCACAAAUCAAACUUAAGCAUGUUCAAAUUUCAUCAAUUUCAUUAACCACUAAAAAAGGUUUUGACAAUCAAAUGAAAAAAUACAAAGUAUUUCAUAGGAUCAUAGAUUUAGAGCUAGAAGGGAACUUGGAAGUCAUCUUGAGCAGAUGAAGCAAAAGCUUUCAGUUCCUUUAGUCUCCCUUAAUUAUUAUUAACCCUCAUGUACAUGGCAUCCACUAAUCAUAAUUCUGUCAGUCUUGGUUGAAAUUUAAAAACAUGACAACAACAAAAAAAGGAAACAUGAAUUAUAAUAGAAGGGUUUGUUCCACAUGAAGAUAAUAAAUUCAGAGUUUAACACCAUAGUAUUAAAUAGACCCCAAAAGGAUCUUGGAGAUGGUCUAGUCCUAUCCCUUUAAAACCCAGCAAGGUUAAAUAGUAAACCUAAGGUCCUAGAGGUGAUUCCAAGUCCCAGGUUCUUUUCACUAUACCACAGUACUCAAAGUGUAAUUAUAAUCAAUCAAUACCUGGUACAUGUCAAGCUAGUAUUCUGUUAAAUCAACGGUAGUUCUAGGUCUAGCAUUUCAAUGUAGUGAUUCCAAGUCCUCCUACUCAAGCCAAGAUUCCAUAACUGGGCCUGAGUUUUAUUUUGUUUUUUGCAAUUAUGAUAAUUUUUGGUUUCUUAAGCUCUGCACAACGAUGUCUCUUUUCAUGUCCUCAGGUUUUCAGUUAUCCAUUGAAAGAGAAAGUCAGGUUAAGUAGGGUUAGAAGGUGGGUAUGGCAAUCAUGCAUAGGCAACAUGGCUUUCGUGGUUUCCCUCCUUGUGCCCCCACCCCCAGUCCAAGUGUUUUUUUAAAGGGACCAGAGUGACCCAAAGGGAAGAUUCUGACUAGAUGUAAGGAUCCAUGAGUAAAAGAUUGCUGGUCCAUUGCGUAGUAAAAUAAUAUUGACUGCCCUUAAGAAACCAUUACAAGAAACAAGAUAAAGUUAUUUCCAAUGCAUAAAAAAAUUUAUAUAUACAAAACUAAAAAACUGAGACUUCUUUUAUGAAACUGCAGGUAGACAAAGCAGUUGAGGCUUAGAAACCAUCAUUCAAGUUUCCAAACAAGAGUGUGUAAGGAUACAUCUGCCAGUAAGACAAACUAUUCUAUAAAAAGAAUUUUUCUUAGAUUAGUUGUCAAAAGCCCAUUUCCUGGUAAAAAACCAUAACUGUUAUUACACAUAAACUAGUUAUACAUGUCACUACCUGGCACAGAAAAUCAAGCAGUCUUACAACACUUAAUAGAUAUAGUCAAAUAGCUAUUCAAGUAAUUACAAAAUUUGCUUACCAACCAAACCUGUGUUAAUCUUUUAUUUCCUGUAGAUUCAGCUACAUUAACUCACCCUUCCUGCUUGUUGACUUUUACAUUCCUUUCACUUAUGUAUUGAGAGACCAGCCAUUGUGAGAACUCUAAAUCCCCCCCCCCAAAUAAAUGUUCAGCAACAAUUACUUGGGAAAAAUAACAUUCUUUAGUGAGAUCAUUUCCUUCUAAUCCAUUUUAAGGCAAAAUGUGUCAAUGAGUGUAUAAUUUUUAAAAAUUUCUUUCAUAUAGAAAGGGAUCUUAACCCAAAUUUGCCGGUUAGCAAAAGACUUUUGCCUUUAAAAAAAAAAAAAAAGAAGUAGGUAUUCAAGACUUGCAUAAAAAUAAUUAAGAGGGGCAUCAUAGAAUAAUGAAAAAAAUUGGGUCUGGAAUAAUAGGCUUAGAGAUGGUAGGGAGUAUGGAGAUCUUCAAUCCUCUCAUUAGGGAAAAAAUUAAGGACCAGAUAAAUUAGGGGUAAAAUAGCACUAAACCAACAAGGGAACUCAUUCCAGAUCGGACUCACUUCUUUAAUAAAAAAAAGUCUUUAGUUCAUCUGAAACGUUAGGUUUGCAACCAGCCGAGGGCACAAGAGCAAAAACUAAGGCGGAGGGUCCGAGGCGGAAUUGGAAAACGCUUGUCCCAGCGCAGGGGAUGUUCUCGCCUCCCCGGGCGAGACUCUGCAUCGCAGGCAGUACGCGGCGUAGAAGAUCGCGCCCUCUCUCAAAAUCCCUUCCAGGAGCCCGGGGCGCCCGGGGCUUCCGGGACCGGAUGUCUCCCCUCCAGAAGACCCUGCCGGGACGGGCUCUGCCGAGGGUCAGCCCGCCACGAAGCCUGGGCAGCCGCUUCUCGGCCCGGGUCUUUGUUCCAGCCUCGAGCCCGGCUUCUCCCACCCCGGGGUACCCCGGAAUACUAGGGCCUACUCCACCCCUCCCAAGGCCGCGCCUCUCGUUCCAGAAGCGCUGGGUCCGAGGAAACAAAGCCAGCCCCGAGGGUCCCGUUCCAGCCGCCGCCGCUUCCCCUCCGCGCGGCUCGGGCCCUGGGGAAAGCCGGCGGCCUCUUCCCCUUCCCCCAGUCCCGGCACCUCCACCUCGACCGGAGGAAGCGGCUAAAAGGAAAAAGGGCACGCAAACGGCCCGAACCCGGAAAUCACCCAGCCGGCUUCCCCCUCAUUGACCUCGUUCCUGAGGUCGUGGCCCCGCGUGGCCGCCGAGGAGGCCGGAAGUGAACCCUGCGCGCCGGCACCGGAGGCCCUUCUAGCCCUCUAGGCCCCUCGGGUUCCCAGUCCGGUCCCAGCCUCCGCGUCCCCGCCCUUGCUCAACUCUAUGGCCGAGCGGAAGGAGCUCGGGCUUCCUUCUUCCCGUUUCCGGUCGAUUGGCUGAGUCUAGGGAAGCUGGAGUCCCGCAAAGAAGUGUAAAACCUCAAGGUUCUCAACAGUGUCAGGAAUGGUUCUGCUGUAACAUCUUUGGAAAGGAUUUUUCCAAGGACAGCUACGGAGAUGAUUGAUGUAAAAGCUUGGGCUGAGUAUGUUGUGGAGUGGGCUGCAAAGGAUCCAUAUGGCUUUCUUACCACAGUGAUUUUGGCUCUGACUCCACUUUUUCUAGCAAGUGCAGUACUGUCUUGGAAACUGGCAAAAAUGAUUGAGGCCAGGGAAAAGGAGCAGAAGAAGAAACAGAGACGUCAAGAAAAUAUUGCAAAAGCCAAACGACUAAAGAAGGAUUGAGGAAAAAAUUAAGAAGAAAAUCUUUCUCAUUUAAAGAAUCCACAGUUAAAGAAAAAUUAUAUAAAAUGAUGCACUUCUUGAAGAAACACUAGGGUGCUUUUGUUGUAUUUUAUAACAGUAUUAUCCAACUAUUUGACCAUGUGAAAAAAUUGAAAUUCUGUAACUAUGUUAUAAUUUUUCAGCUUGGAUACAGAAACUUGUUGGUGCCUGUCAACUGACAUUUAUGUUGCAAAUUUCUUUGAACUCAUUUUGCUGUUGCUUUUUGGUAGCCCCUGUGCUAAAGUGAAUCUGUGUUAGGGAAGAAAAUGUCUUAAGAUGUGAUUUGUUGUCUACUGGUAGUUUUAAGUUUGGGGUCCUGUUUAUGGAUAAAGAUUUGAAAUAUUGAAAAUUAAGAUUUUUUUUCUUCACUGGGGGGGGACAGGAAAAAUAUUAAGACUUUUUUUUUCUUAAACAGUUUUCUUGACAUUUGGAUGGAUUUAUGAUUCAUUGAGUUGAAUAAUUUGCUCCACUAGGAUAUAUCACUUGACUUGCAUGUUUUUCUCAUCCUAUGCAAUUGUUGAUGUCAUUCCAUAAAUCUUUCAGAGAAGCCACCCGAUAAUGGUAUAGCUGUAUUCCUCUAGUUCUUUUAAUAUUGGUGCUUGGGAGAACUAAUGUAGACUUGGGCUAUCUGUUUUGUUUUAUUCACAAUAUUAAACCAGGCUACCUCUCUUUCUGAUCAUGCAUGUCUUUAUGAUACUUUAUGCUAUCCUAUAGAUUUUAUUCACAUUUGGUUUUUUUGAUGUGGAAUCAUUUCUGGGAACAAAAGCAAAUCUUGAUGAAGUAACAGCUCUGCAUUGUUAAUGUCAUCUAUACUUGGAAGGUAAUAAUAAUGUAAUUUGUAAGACAUUUCAUAUUUGAUUAAUUUUAAUAUACUGUGGAAUUGUUCCCUGCUUACUUUUUUUUGACAGCAUGUUAUAUAUUGAGCAAAUAGAGUUAUGUGCAGUUAUAAAGACUUCUGUCUUCCGUAGGAAUCAUCUGCAAAAAAGAAUUUAGGGUUGCUAUAAAUAUGCUAAACUUAAUACUAUCUGGCUUAUUCAUGCUCAUAUUGUACAGAAGAGUGAAAUGGUUAAAAAAAAGUUUUGUUAGCUGAUUCUUCUAAUACAUAUUUUUUAAUCCAUUAUUUCAUUUUAACCUAUGUGGUUAAUCUAUGUCAGGUGACUCCAUGUUACAAGUAAGUUUCUUGAGGCAUUUUAAAAACUAGUCCUAAAGACACAAAACCUAUUUUUAUUUGAUGUAUUUGGAUAAAAAGACAAUAAGGUAUGUAAAUUAAAUUGGAAUGAAAAUAGGUUGAUUGUUUUUAAAUUUCAAGAAAAAGGCUUUUUAAAAAAAAGUCCUUUCUUUUGUGAAAAAUAAUUGUCUAAUUAAAAUUUCAUGUAUGCUUUUUAUGACCUAGUCCAUUAUUAAAUUUUAAUGGCUAUGAUCAUUUUUUCCUUUGAAAUAAAUCUAAAAUUUUUUAAGUGUAUUAAUCUAGUAACUAUAAUUUAAGAAAUAAAUUAGUUAUAAAUAAAUUUGAUACUUUUUUAAGAUGUUGAUUGUCUUCAUAUUUAUUGAGUGUAAUGUUUAUUGUUUUUAAUCAAAAUACCACACAAAUUUCAUCAAAAAAAGAAAUCUGUGUGAAAAUUGACUACAUUUCUGAGAAUGGUAUUGACCAUUAUAAUCACUGAACUUCCUAGGAAGUAACAUUUAUACUACUUAGCCACCUUUUAUAGUGAUGUGUGAAAUCAUUUUUUAAAACUAUCAAAGAAUAACUUCAUUUUUUUACCUUGUAAUUGAUACUCAUAUUGAGUGGCAUACUUCAUCAUAUUUUGUUAGCACUAUCUUUCAUAGAGAACUGACAUGUAGACCUUUAGGAGGGCAUAUACUUUGAGUUUUUGUUAGUAGUGCUUUCUGCUUCUCUUUACACUAUACAAGUCAUAAGUUCUUUAUUGCUACAAGAAUCUUUAUAAUGUUAAUGAACACUAUUAGUACUUGAACAUUUUUUCACAGCAGGAUUUAGGGUUUUUUGGUUUUAUUUCUUUCUUUUGCAAGAAUACAUGGAUAUUAGUCUUUCUGGUCAGUAUUUUCCACUGUCUUCCCAGUUGAAACAAACAAGUAAUAAAUUCCAACUCUGUUAUUCCUGUGUUUGAAAUUUGUGCUCUCAAGUUAAUGAUCUAUACCAGAUAUUUAUCUCUUUUCAUUUAAUUGUGUCUAGACUUAUGAUAUCUUCUGUGAAAAUAAGUUAAAACUAUAAAGUACUAGUCAAUUACUAAAAAUAAAGUUUUUGAUGUAUCAUUUAAAACUGAGCCACAUUGUAGCUCCAAGUAUUUUCUUGAGAAUUCUCAAUAAACAAAUAUUUACUCUGCAUCUGUUCAGUGUGCAAGAUCAACCUUGAAGCUAGAGAAGCAAAGAAAAAGUGAAAAAUUCUUGUCAUCGAGAAGUUCACAUAUUGUAUGAUAAUGUACAUGUAAAUAUAGGGUAAUUUGAGAAAUUAAUUGAGGUGCCAGGUGAGAUUUUCUGAGUGAGUUGGAAAAAAAUUAAAAAUUCCUAGAAGCAGAAGUAAAGAAAGAAUACAUUGCUAUCAAGGACACGGAUGGGAAUUAUAGGUGGAAUUCCAGGUUCAGGAGAGCUAGUCGACCAGUUUGACUAGAAUGUGUAACGUGUGUGUAAAAUAAGGAAAUACAAUUUAGCACUCUGGAUUGUGGACAGCUUUAAAGGCCAGGCAAUAGGAAGCCACUAUAAUGAGUACAUGAAUGGUAUUCUCAUUAGGCCUUGAGUUAUUUUGACAUCUAUGUAGCAGAAGGAAGAGAAUGAAAGAGCAAUUUGAAGGUUAUUAAAAUCAGGGUAGUGACUUUGUGAAUGCAAAGAGGAAUGGAUAGACAAGGCAGAAUAAAUGG